CAGUCGCCGCGGUAAUACGAAGGGUGUGAGCGUUAAUCGGAAUUACUGGGCGUAAAGCGUGCGCAGGCGGUUAUGCAAGACAGAUGUGAAAUCCCCGGGCUUAACCUGGAAACUGCAUUUGUGACUGCAUGGCUAGAGUGCGGCAGAGGGGGAUGGAAUUCCGCGUGUAGCAGUGAAAUGCGUAGAUAUGCGGAGGAACACCGAUGGCGAAGGCAAUCCCCUGGGCCUGCACUGACGCUCAUGCACGAAAGCAUGGGGAGCAAACAGGAUUAGAGACCCCUGUAGUCCCUGUCUCUUAUAC
rnacentral:rRNA from 1 species